UUAUAGGUGGGAUGUCUCACUAGUGGUAAGACUAGAAGGAAGACUGGAUCGUGAAGGGGUAUGAGUGUGGCAAACCCCCUGAGCUCACCAAGGACGUGUGGGAUGGCCUCAUCCAUUAUUGGCGGGAUCCUGACUCCAUUAGAGUCACCGAAUCUUGCUCUGCCUCCCGUCAGACGGUAGAUGAGCACGACCACGGCCCGAUGCUUCACUCUACGGGUCAAAAACUCCACGCCGGUGUCCGUCUGGAUAUGGUAAUUAAAUAUUUAAUUUAAUUAAUUUAUUUAUAUAUAUAUAUAUAUAUAUUCUAACUUUUUAAAUGUUUUUAGGCCAAAGAUACGGGAGAACUCCCAUCUCUUUUGCAACUUUACGAGAGGACCCACAAGAACAAGGCGGGCCAAUUUCUAGAUGCUAGGUCCGAGCAAAUCUUCAACGACUUGGUUGGUCGGGUUGAAGACCGCCAGACUGAGUCCACCGACGGAUUACCCGUCACCUUAUCCACACUUGAAAUGGAUAUGAUUUACGAGGAGGUAAAUUUUUUAAAAUUUAAAAUUUUUUUAUUAUUCAUUUAAUUUAACUUUAACUUUUUACUAACAAUAUUUAUUUUUUGUUUUUAAAGUUGUCCCUAAGAAAAAGAGAUGUACGUUGGAGAUUGGUUCCGUCAACGAUGUUCCGAGAGCGACAUCGUCUUAUGGUCAGAGACGGGAUGAUGAAGUCACUCAGCUGUGUAACGAGUUGGACUCUACGCGAUCUUCGUUCACAGCUCGUAUGGGUGGAGUCGAGGGCUUCUUGGACGUUGUAGCGGCCACAAAUCUGGAAUGGGAGUCCUUGUUGAGAAACAUGCGACGACAAAAUCCCAGUCCAGGCGAUUUAUCCAGAACACAUGACGAGGCGGAUGUAGAGAGGAGGAGUGAGGAAUUCUACCGGGCGAUGAACGAUCCUUAGUUCUUUUUUUUCUUUUCGUCGGUUGUAUUAUAAAUUCAAAACUUAUUUAUGUAUAAAAUAUUUUCGUAUUUACAUUUAUUUUUAAAUUAUAUUUUUAUUAUUAAAUUAAAUAAUUUUUAUUAUAUUUUUUAAUUCUAGAAAAUAAAAAAGCAAAGUAAAUUCGUAGCUAAAUUAUGACUAUAUUACGUGGAAAGUUUACGAGGAAGUUACAAGGAAAAUUUUUACGUCAACACUACGAGAAAAGCUUAACGAGUAUUUUACAUGGAAGGGUUUAUGUGUAAUUUACGAGGAAUUAUAUUCAAGGUAUUUACGAGGAAAUGUAGCGUCUUCCUUACGUGGAAAGGUUAUAUGGUUUUUACGACAAAUACUUUUUUCGUCUUUACGACGAAAUGUGUUUCUCGCUAGUUUACGACGAAUUGGCGAGGAAAUAUGCGUUACGACGAACGAAUAACGACGAAAUUGUUUCCUUGCUAAUUCCUUGUAAAUCCUAUUUUACGACGAACUUACUACGAAUUUAGCCGUCGUUAGUGCUGUGUUUUCUUGUAGUGCAAUGUAUUGAGAGCCAUUCCAAAUUUUAUGUAACAAAGCCUUACACCUGAUUUCGUGAUGUGUAACUUCUUCAGUAAGGGGGAAUCAGCAAAAUUUAUAUUAGAAUUUCUUCCUAUUGAUGAUGAGUGGGACGGUAUUACAGAGUAACCACUAACCAGUUAUGACUUAUCUACUAGCACGCUUAAAAUAUUCACGAAUAAAUCUCUCGGCAUGAGACGGGUACCUAUCACGAACAUAGUCUCGAAGACACUUCUGGUAUGAGAAAACUAUCCAUCCACCAUCUGUUCUCACAAGAAAGAGACACCUCGAGUGCCUGAACUGAGGAUGCCGAUCAACCUGCCAUUAACAAGUUAGACACUCAUAAGCACAUAAAAGAAAGAAGAUCGCAAAUUAACAAGUUCCACACUCCUAGCUUAUGAAAACUCCCUAUAGCCAUAAGCAUUCCAAAUCACAACAAGCAGUUUCGAACAUUAAAAGAAAAUUGCAAUGGUUAUACAUCAAAAAGAUAGCUGAAAGACUCCUAUGACUUGGUUUAUUAGCUAACUUUUAGGAAAACUCCAUCUACUUAAAAUUUUCGGAUUCUAUUUUUGUUUCAAAUUUUUAGACACAGCAUGCAAGUGAAAUCCUAAUGAUGGAGGAACAUGCAACAAUACCUCCAGAUGAGUUAUUUUUAAUAUUAGUAGACAUGAUAGAAAGAUAGCAUGCAUUCUCACGUACCAUUAUAAAAUCAUGACCGCAGCCAAUUUUAUCUUUGGAGUACUGGUGAUAAGAAUGUCUAAGCAUUAUCCAUCCAAUUCAAAUACAUGCUUAUCAAGAAUAAAAAGCAGAUCAUUAAGACUGCAAAAAUAUUUUUCACAAAAGGGCACAUGCACUAAAGUUAGCUAGCUUCAAGUUGCAAUAGUUCACCACAAAAGAAUCCAAGUUUGGCUAUUUAUCCAGUUCCAGAACACUGAACUGAAGAUACAAGAGCAUCUAUCACAUUACAGAGAUAGGCUUAUUCUGCAAACACCGCUAUAAUCCAAUCAAAACUCAUCCACUAACUACCAAGAAUAUGGCUUACUGGAAGAAGCUAUGAGACUACAACCUGAGGAUUAAUCUACACAUGGUGAUGGUACAUUUACUGUAGAGCAUGAGAGAUUCAUUCAAUGCACUUCAAGAAAUUCUAAAAUUUGAUUGGAAUUAUAAGGGUUUUUAGUACUAAGAUCUCUCGACUAAAGAUGUAUGUUAAAACAAACCCUCAAUUGAAAAUUUUGACAAAAGAAACACUCAACUUUAUUUUCGUAAACAUUUGUCACCAUCCGUCACUGUAUUUUAGAUGAAAGGUGAAAGACGUUAACGGAGUUAAAAUUGGUGAUUUCUUUCGUCAAAUUUUUAGUUGAGGAGUUAUUUUACUAUCCAUAUUUAGUUGAGGGUGUUAUUACUAAAUGUCACUAAAUGUUUUAAAAUAUUUAAAAUCGUAUCUCUAAUUUUAUAAAAUCAUUGUUAAACUUUAUUAACCAUUUAUAAAAGUAUUAAAAUAUGUAUAAAACUUUAUAAAUCGGUUAUAAGAUUGAUAAAGUAAUGUAUAAUGAUUUAUAAAUUAGUUUUAAAGGCAUAUCAAUGGAUUAUAAAAGUUUUAAAUAAUACAUAAUGAUAUUGAAGAUUUUAAAACAUUUAGUGAGAUUUAGUAAUAAAACUCCUCAACUAAAGAUGAAUCGUAAAAUAAUCUCUCAAGUAAAUAUUAGACGAAAGAAAUCCUCAACUUUAAUUCCAUUAACGUUUGUCACCCUUCAUCUAAAUUACCAUGACAGAGGGUGGCAGAUGUUAACGAAAUUAAAGUUGAAAGUUUUUUUUAACAAUUUUAGUUGAGAGUUUCUUUUGCGAUCCAUUUUUAGUUGAUGGGUUUUAGUAACCCCUCCCCUCAUUAUAAUUCAAAACACUGGCACUGUAUUUUUUGGAGAUUCAAUCAGUUCUAUCAAGUUUGUGGUAGAAAAUGGUGCAGCUGAUCUGACUUAACAUUCUAUUCAUAACUACAACUCCAUUAAAAAAUACCGCAAACAGAGGGCAAAAUUCAUAUAUAAUCGAGAAAAUGAAGUUUACAUUUCUGAAUGAAGAAGAUCUUUGGCGAAAAGAGCUAUAGGUUCAAUAUCUUGAAGUAUCCCUGUCUCCAGUUUUUUUACUUCUAUAAUUAGGAUCUUCGAAACGCUAGUUGUCACCAAUAGACGGUGUCGAAUUGAUUGCCGCUGUGGCACAACUUUCCCCUGGAGAAUUAUCCUUGUGCAAUUGUGGUUUUUCAGCACGAUGACGGUGAGAAAGAAACCAUACCGCUGCGAUGUUUACUUGAUGACACUGGGAGAGAAAACCGUUGCAGAGGAGCGGGAGUGUUCUAAGGAGGAGUUGCGAGGUCAUUCACCUCGAUCGGGGAGAAACUUCCCAUGGAGAAUUAUCCUCGCGCAACUGUUGUUUUUCAGCACGAUGACGGUGAGAAAGAAACCAGACCGCUGCGAUGUUUAUUUGAUGACGGUGGGAGAGAAAACCGUUGUAGAGGAGCGGGAGUGUUCUAAGGAGGACUAGCGAGGUCAUUGACCUCGAUUGGGGAGGAACUGAGAGAUAACAAGAUCACACUCGAAAAUAAUAAUUAGAAUCAAAUAAACUCUUAACUAGUAUAUAGUCACUCGAAGAAGAUGAGCGGAUAGUUUGCACAACGGUAAAAGACGUAGGAAGAAGAUAAAGAGAUGUGGAAGCCCACAGGCCCAUUUAUUAUUUUAUCAGUAUUACGAAGAUGGGCAUCGAACCAUGUGGAAGCCGACAGAGCCGUAGAGCCACACCUUCCGAUAUCUCAUUUUGAUUUAAUUCGCGACUUCGUUGCCACUCUGUGCCGUUAGAUUGAUCCUUUGACGUUUCUAUAAAUAUCUAAAAACAUGAUCCAACGGCUCAGAUAUCGAAUUGUGUGUCAACAAUGUACAUAACUCAUCACCGAAUCUCAAUCCUCUUUUCUAUCUCCAGCUGGCCGAACCCACCGGAUGUGCCCGCUUUCUCUCUUGGGCUAGCACAUGCAACUUGGUUGGACCUUCUUAAUCCACAUGAUUCAUCUUACGAGCCCAGUUUGGUAAUUAGUAUUUAAUCGGCUACAACGCGCGUAUCCUGCUCUUGUGACGUGUUAUAAAGACAUUGGUUGAAUCAAAUAUCUAAAGCGUUAGUCGGUCGGAGAUAUUAAGAAGAUCAAAAAUAUCUAGCUAACUCGUCCACGUUGGCACUAACACAAAGCCAUCUGGAAUUAGACAUUGCGCUUUUUCUCUUAUCUUUUUGCUUUGCUUUUCUUCUCUCUCUCUUUUGAAAAUUGCUCAUCUUCACAGACCAAACUUCUCCACGAAUCUUUUUCUCCGAUCUGAAUGGGAGAGGAAGUGAGGAUGAGCGAUUACGAAGUUUCCGGCGAGGGAGAUAGGGUUCUUGAAUGGGAGAUGGGGCUACCUAGCGACGACGAUUUGACAUCACUUUCUUACUCUCUGAUACCUCCGAAUCUCGCCAUGGCUUUCAGCAUAACUCCAGAGAAAAGCCGUACGAUGGAAGAUGUGAAUCGCGCAUCGGAGACGACGUUCUCGUCGCUGCGCAGCGGAUCUUCAGGUCUCAACACCUCGUCCUCUAACAAUAACAGCGUCGCGGCGGAGGAGGAAGAUCGAGUCGGAUCGAGCAGUCCCGGAUCGGAUUCGAAGAAACAAAAGACAUCCGGCGAUGGUGUGGCGGCGGCGGCGGAGGAAGGAGAUUCGGGAACUGAAGAUCCUACUGGGAAGACACUGAAACGACCGCGUUUAGUGUGGACGCCGCAGCUACACAAGAGAUUCGUGGACGUUGUGGCUCACUUAGGGAUUAAGAACGCAGUGCCGAAGACGAUUAUGCAGCUGAUGAACGUCGAAGGAUUGACUCGAGAGAACGUCGCCUCUCAUCUCCAGAAGUACAGGCUCUACCUCAAACGGAUGCAGGGGUUGACGACGGAAGGUCCGUCUUCUUCCGACAAGCUCUUCUCCUCGACCCCUGUGCCUCCACAGAGCUUCCAAGAUAUCGGAGGCGGUAACGGCCAAGGGAACGUAUCCGCGGCUGUGCCCUACGGAGGGCAGCCGAUGAUGCAGAUGCCUGUCUAUGCCCAUCAUAUGGGUAUGCAAGGGUAUCAUGAUCCUUAUCAUCAGAACCUUCAGCAUCAUCAUGGAGCUGGAGGGUUCGAAGCUAAUCCAUAUAUGAUGCAGCAGAACAAGUUCGGAUCCAUGGCGUCUUACCCUCCUGUUGGGGGUAGAAGUGCGCAUGAGAAUUAAAAUGAAUCGAUUUGGUUCUUGACUUGUGUCCGCAUCAAUAUGUCUUUUAUCUUUUGCCGAGUUUUUUAACCAAGUCCGCAUUGCAUCUACAUAGGAGAGAUCAUACAACAUAUCAUUUCGAAGCUAGACCAAUGAGCAUUCUUGGAACACAAUGCAUACUUGGGGACUUCUGUCAGGUUUCGUGCACUCAUUUUCUAGAUUGUGAGAAGGUUUUCAACCAAGAACUUGGAAGCUUGCGUUCGAGAGCUCAAGAGAUUUAAAUCGUUCUUCUUUUUUUUUCUUGGCCUAAUGUAACUGAUCUAUAAGAUUAAUAGAAAGAAGCGUCUUUCUGGAAUAAAUAUCAGAUUCUCAGACUUGUGUAUGUGAUUCAUCCAUACUACGUUUUCUUGGCCUUAUUUACUACAUGUUGCACAUGUGGUGGAUGAUGUAUGUGAGUACCAUGAGGCGGUUACAAAAGCGAAGAUGCUUCUUACUUCUUGAUCUUUCCUCUUGUCGUUUUUGGUUUCAUGUAAGAUUUUCCAAACAGAAAAAUUGUUUAUUAUGCAACAAUUCCAUUGUAGACAAACUUCCAAAAGAGACUCUUAUUUGA